AAAACGAAUACAUUUGUACCGUAGACAGUAGGAGCUCAUUACGAGCUUAAUAUCCUGCCGAGGUAAUUGCGAUAAAAUAACCGCUUUUAGCGUGUUUGCAAUGCCCUUAUGUCUACCUUGAUAUAAGGGCAUUUUUUAUUGGAUG
rfam:Bacillus vietnamensis strain TCD-SED5 scaffold_17, whole genome shotgun sequence.